CGCGCGGCGGCUGGGGGGGGGGGGGGGGGGGUGCGGGCGUGCGGCGCUCGCGCCGCGGGCUCGCGCACUCGGUAGCAGCGGCGACGAGCGGUGGACCCCCGCACUCGGGAGCGGCGAUUCAGAAGAAGGCCGCUGUUCGAGAAGAGGGCAACGCAAUUCAGCAUCGGUGGUGCGCUGCUGCCUAAGAAGGACGUGCACCGGCUCGUGAAGUGGCCCGAGCCCCAAUAUCAGGUGAUGGCUAGUGAUCGGACCGUCAUGUUUCUCUAAUUCUGAAAUUCCUAUGUGAGACCGCCGAAUGGUUUUGGAGGCACACAUUUUUUCAUUUCAUCUGAACACUCGAAGGUAAUGGCCAGGACUAGUGAUCUGACACUAUGGUACUGUUUUGUGCAAAACAUGCUUUGCCUUGUUCCUUUGCUGUUUGUUUGACAACGAUGAUUGGUUCAAGUGACGCUGACCGAGUGCUCAUCCUAGUGGAGACAGCCGAAUGGUUUUGGAGUCACAAAUUUGCCAUUCCAUCGGAACACUCGAAACUCUUAUUGUCUGUUGUCAACUUUUGAGAGGCCACAUGGCUUGCAGUUACCUCUCUGUUUACCAGCUAAGCAAAUGUGUCGCGUGUCAACUUGACCAAACUUUGGCUUGGAUGUUAUUUGCUGGACACUGCUUUUUUGGUCCGUUUGAUCUAAAUAACUGUAUGCGGUAACUGGUUAGCCCCUGUUAUGCGUUAUUAUUAUCAUCUAUAUAUGGGAUUUGAGUUGGAAGAUUGUUGUCAGUAAUGGGGAACU